rnacentral:rRNA from 1 species
UACGAAGGGGGCUAGCGUUGUUCGGAAUCACUGGGCGUAAAGGGCGCGUAGGCGGCUUUAUAAGUCGGGGGUGAAAGCCUGUGGCUCAACCACAGAAUUGCCUUCGAUACUGUAGAGCUUGAGACCGGAAGAGGUAAGUGGAACUGCGAGUGUAGAGGUGAAAUUCGUAGAUAUUCGCAAGUACACCAGUGGCGAAGGCGGCUUACUGGUCCGGUUCUGACGCUGAGGCGCGAAAGCGUGGGGAGCAAACAGG